GUUAUAUCACCCGUAGUGUGAGUGAUAACCAGUGACUUAUAUGGAAUUUAUUUCACUGACAGAAUACAGUAUUUCAUUAGUUAGCAGAAAAUAAUAAAUUGUAUAAAGAAACAGUGACGCUACGAGUGUUUUGAAUAUUGUUAUUAUUGGUUGACGCCAUACAGUCGAUAACUGUAGAGGAUAUAUAGAAUAGUUCCGCUGCCAUAUCAAACGCUAUAGAAGAGAGCCACAGGAACUAUCUGUGCAAUUAAUCCUUUGAACUGGAAUACCAUAACAGACUGCUAUUUGCCAGGGGAGAGAACUCUAAUCACAAGCGAAACGUCAUCAUGAACAAGCACCUGUUUUCUUUACAAAUUAUACUUGUUAUCGUUGUGGGUCUCGUUGUAUGUACACCACUCGGAGGAAAUGAUAAUGGCAGUCCGUUUAAUAGACCAACAAACUUUCUCGGAAAAGAUUUGUAUCAGAACUGGAGAACGGCAUUCAACAAACGUUUCGGAAUGGUUCCGUCUGGUCGCCUGGGUUACCGCCCUGCCCGAUGGCUUGACUGGAGUCAGAUAUACGGUGACAAACACAAACGUGGCUUAGGAGAUGCCGACAACGAUGUACUCGGAUCAUAUUCGCCUUUUGGGCGACACCGAUGGAGUUACAAUAAAAAUGGCUAUUGACUUAAACGAGAAUCAAACAUCAAAAAUUAAGAUCUCACUGAUAUUCUACAAUCAUGUCUAUUCUCUACAUUUAGUUUACAAACAUUAUAAAUGAAGUUAAAUAACAAUAAUUUACUACGUGGUUCCUUAUAUCCAUUUGUUGUAUUAUUUCGUGGCAUUUGAACACAGUGAGAUUUUUUUUUUCAUUUAUGUAACAAAUUGUCUACAUUUAAAUAUAUGCGCUGUUUAGUGAUUUAUGCUUAAUGUCAGUAAUUUGCAUAAAGAACCAUAAAAAAGGCGAUGAGCAUUCUAGCAUAAAACAAAAAAGUAUUGUCACUUUUCGGGUGUGUUUUAACAGGAGAGACGUAUUCUCCCGCUCACAUAUUUUAUAUAUAUGCGCGUUUCGUCGCAAAACGUAAACACGCAUUACGGCCCCAAAACGGAUUAUUCGAAAA